rnacentral:tRNA from 1 species
AUUUAUAUAAUAUAUUUAGUAUAUUUGAUUUCCAAUCAAAAGGUUUAAAUUAACAUUAUUUAAUAUAAAUA